UACGAAGGGGGCUAGCGUUGCUCGGAAUCACUGGGCGUAAAGCGCACGUAGGCGGAUUGCUAAGUCAGGGGUGAAAUCCUGGAGCUCAACUCCAGAACUGCCCUUGAUACUGGCGGUCUCGAGUCCGGGAGAGGUGAGUGGAAUUCCUAGUGUAGAGGUGAAAUUCGUAGAUAUUAGGAAGAACACCAGUGGCGAAGGCGGCUCACUGGCCCGGUACUGACGCUGAGGCGCGAAAGCGUGGGGAGCAAACAGG
rnacentral:rRNA from 1 species